rnacentral:rRNA from 1 species
AUUGAACGCUGGCGGCAUGCCUUACACAUGCAAGUCGAACGGCAGCGGGGACUUCGGUCCGCCGGCGAGUGGCGAACGGGUGAGUAACGUAUCGGAACGUACCUUUCAGUGGGGGAUAACGUAGCGAAAGUUACGCUAAUACCGCAUAUUCUGUGAGCAGGAAAGCAGGGGAUCGCAAGACCUUGCGCUGAUUGAGCGGCCGAUAUCAGAUUGGCUAGUUGGUGAGGUAAAGGCUCACCAAGGCGACGAUCUGUAGCGGGUCUGGGAGGAUGGUCCGCCAGACGGGAAAUGAGACACGGUCCAGAGUCCUAAGGGAGGCAGCAGUGGGGAAUUUUGGACAAUGGGGGCAACCCUGAUCCAACCAUGCCGCGUGAGUGAAGAAGGCCUUCGGGUUGUAAAGCUCUUUCGGCCGGGAAGAAAUCGUAUGGGUUAAUACCCUGUGCGGAUGACGGUACCGGCAUAAGAAGCACCGGCUAACUACGUGCCAGCCGCCGCCGUAAUAC